rnacentral:lncRNA from 10 species
ACGUCACCAGCUGUUGCGCGCGAAGGCAGCUUGGCGGCGUCGGUGCUGGUUCCGGAGGGCGCUCAGCGGGAAGAACCGGGACACAGAAACGGGGGCAGGGAAGCAAAGGGGGAACAAGAAAAGUGGAAGCGAUGUCCCCAAAGCAGGUUCCCUUUCCUCCUAAACUUUUUGGCUCUCAGACAAAUCCUAAAAGUCCCUCGUCGCAGCAUACAAAGUUGUGGGUAAAUCCAGCGCAGUGGGGGGCGCACGGCCUUACCUGUGCCAUGGCGACUACUCAGGUCAGGGGAAGGUGAAGCAGGACUGCAAAAGAGAAGAAACCUCGGGCUUAGCGCGCCAUUUGCAACUCGUGCCCUCCCCAAGCGCAGGUCCGCGGGGACCCGGCGGCGCUCAGACAGCCCGGAGGGCCCCGCCACGGGGCCGACCCGCCCUCUCGCAGCUACCGGGACAGCUCUCGGCCGAGCGUCCGCGCGAAUCCAGUGCCCCGCGACCACGCUCUCCUCUCCAGAAGGAGCCCCCUCCCCGGGCUGCGACCACUCACCCAGACUGUGGGACCCAAGUGCCCCGAAACCCCGGGAGAGCGGCGGAGAGCCGGGCGACGGUACGCGGGGCGACGCCGAGAUGCAGACGCUGAAGGAUCCGGCAGCUGCACCUAGACUGAUCCAAGCAACGGAAACGCCAGCGGCCCCACCCCGGCCCU